CCUGUCAUCGUCUAGUGGUUAGGACACCAGGUUCUGAUCCCUCUGGCAUCACCCCCCGGUGGUCAAAGACAUCAGAUCUCCUGGUAACCCCGGUUCAAACCCGGGUGACAGGU
rfam:Puccinia graminis f. sp. tritici CRL 75-36-700-3 supercont2.19 genomic scaffold, whole genome shotgun sequence.